AGCGGAGAAUAUAAAUGUCGAGCCUUUGUCAAGACGAACAUUUACAAUACAGGAAAAACUUCAACGGCCCUCGUCAUUGUAAACGGUCCUCCAGAUGCUCCACAAAAUUUAAACAUCAAUGGAGGAUGUCAAAACUUCACUGCUAAUCUUGCUUGGACGUUAUAUCUCAACUCUUAUCACACUGUGGACAGAGUCUUCAUCCAGUGGAGUGUGAUGGAAAAUAUGACUAUGUGGUACAAUGUAACGGACAACAUGACUGUAAGUGGAAACCUAGAAGGUCGUAUCGUGAAGGGACUGAAUCCUUACACAGACAUAGUUUUUCGAGUGAUUGCUGAGAACGUUUAUGGAUUGAGCGAGCCAAGUAAUUACACAAAA